UACGUAGGUGGCAAGCGUUGUCCGGAUUUAUUGGGUUUAAAGGGUGCGUAGGCGGCCCUGUAAGUCAGUGCUGAAAUAUCCCGGCUUAACCGGGAGGGUGGCAUUGAUACUGCGGGGCUAGAGUACAGAUGAGGUAGGCGGAAUUGACGGUGUAGCGGUGAAAUGCGCAGAUAUCAGGAGGAACACCGGUGGCGAAGGCGGGUCUCUGGGCCGAAACUGACGCUGAGGAGCGAAAGCGUGGGUAGCGAACAGG
rnacentral:rRNA from 1 species